UAGGGAAUUUUUCACAAUGAGCGAAAGCUUGAUGGAGCAAUGCCGCGUGAACGAUGAAGGUCUUUAAGAUUGUAAAGUUCUUUUAUUUGGGAAGAAUGACUUUAGCAGGUAAUGGCUAGAGUUUGACUGUACCAUUUUGAAUAAGUGACGACUAACUAUGUGCCAGCAGUCGCGGUAAUACAUAGGUCGCAAGCGUUAUCCGGAUUUAUUGGGCGUAAAGCAAGCGCAGGCGGAUUGAAAAGUCUGGUGUUAAAGGCAGCUGCUUAACAGUUGUAUGCAUUGGAAACUAUUAAUCUAGAGUGUGGUAGGGAGUUUUGGAAUUUCAUGUGGAGCGGUGAAAUGCGUAGAUAUAUGAAGGAACACCAGUGGCGAAGGCGAAAACUUAGGCCGUUACUGACGCUUAGGCUUGAAAGUGUGGGGAGCAAAUAGGAUUAGAUACCCUAGUAGUCCACACCGUAAACGAUAGAUACUAGCUGUCGGGGCGAUCCCCUCGGUAGUGAAGUUAACACAUUAAGUAUCUCGCCUGGGUAGUACAUUCGCAAGAAUG
rnacentral:rRNA from 1 species